UACGGAAGGGGCAAGCGUUGUUCGGAAUUACUGGGCGUAAAGCGUACGCAGGCGGCUAUGUAAGACAGGUGUGAAAUCCCCGGGCUCAACCUGGGAACUGCAUUUGUGACUGCAUCGCUGGAGUGCGGCAGAGGGGGAUGGAAUUCCGCGUGUAGCAGUGAAAUGCGUAGAUAUGCGGAGGAACACCGAUGGCGAAGGCAAUCCCCUGGGCCUGCACUGACGCUCAUGCACGAAAGCGUGGGGAGCAAACAGG
rnacentral:rRNA from 1 species